UAAAUCUGGGCCACAGUUUUAGCAGCAGUUUGUGAUAAGUGGUAAUUCUGAAGAGGCUACACAGUAUGACAGGAAUCCUAAGAAGGCAACAUGAAGUGACUAGAAGUUCCAGGGCCCCAGAUCCUUAUCUACCAUGUACUAUUUACAAUACUGGAAUCUUCCAUUGUGGCCAAAGGACAUUUGGGUCCCCUCCAAGGCCAAGAAAUAAAUGAGCAGCAAUGGGACUUUGAAGCAAUGUUAUCCUAAGCAGCCUAGUGUUGUUAGAAAAUGGCAUUAAAUGCUCCUUUUGACCAAGUCAAUUCACAUGAUCUAUGUUAAUAAAAAACCU